GGGUUGCAGCUGGCUCUUUCGCCCGAUUUUCCUAGCUCCACGUUUACCACAAUAAUGCCUUGGCUUUCUCUCACCUCCUCCUCUCUUCAUCUUCCUCCUCCUCUUGCUCCGUCGUCGUCGUCGUCCUCUCUGCAAUUUCGCAGGAUAACGUGCCUGCGUGCUUCGUCUUCAGUUAAUUCGGCGUCGUCUGCUUCCUCAACGUCGCAGCCGAAAGUCGUGGUCACUAGAGAGCGUGGCAAAAACGCGAAGCUCAUAAAUGCUCUGGGGAAACAUGGAAUUGAUUGUCUAGAGCUUCCUCUUAUCCAGCAUGAGCUGUUACCUGAUUCAAACAGGCUGUCGUGUUUGUUAAGUGAGACUGCUUUUGACUGGGUCAUCGUAACUUCACCGGAAGCAGGAACAGUUUUCCUUGAUGCUUGGAAAGCAGCAGGUACCCCAAAUGUUAAGGUUGGUGUCGUUGGUGGUGGUACAGCUAGUAUAUUUGAAAAAGCUGCACAACAAUCAAAACAGUACCUACAUGUUGCUUUUGCACCAUCAAAAGCUACCGGCAAAAUUUUGGCUUCAGAGCUUCCAAAGCAUGGAAAUGAAAGAUGUAGUGUCCUAUAUCCUGCUUCAGCAAAAGCUAGCAGUGAUAUUGAGGAAGGUCUUUCGGAGCGUGGAUUUGAGGUCAUUCGGCUUAAUACAUACACAACGGUACCUGUGGAUCAAGUUGAUCAGAUGGUUUUGAGACAGGCACUUGCGGCUCCUGUUGUUGCUGUGGCAUCACCUUCUGCUCUGCGGGCUUGGAUUAAUCUUAUUCCAGAACUGGAGAGGUGGGGUAAUGCUGUUGCUUGUAUUGGCGAGACAACUGCUUCGGCUGCAAAAAGACUAGGGUUAACAAAUGUAUACUAUCCAGUAGAUCCUGGUCUUGAUGGGUUCAAGUCGCCCCAGUGCCUCAGCUAUGCAAUGGUCUGAAGCCAGUACUUUUAAAGCUUUCCAGGCUCAUCUAUGCCAAUUCUCCAAUUCUCAAGUCCUCUUCGAUUGUGGUCUUCCACCUGGGUUGACAGCAUUGUGGAAGCUUUGAAAGUUCAGGAGCAAGUCCAGAGAGUCUAAUAGUCCUUUCUGAAUGGCUUUUCCACCUUUCCAGGUGAAGACUGUAAAAGUAGUGCAUCAUUCAGGAUGGACUGUAUGCUUCUAGGAACACUUGAGAGAGAGCGAGAAGAUUGUGGACAAUUUAACGGGAAAAUGUUGAUUGUUCUGCUUAUGAGCAAGCCCAUUUUUCUAUGGGACAAGGAAGGUGUAGCUUAGAGAUCUGAGACACGGGGGGCUGGAAAAAUUCUUAAAACUGUAUAUAGUAUUUUUUUUGUCGUGUAAAUGUUUUAAUUUUUUUUUUUUUUGGGGUUGAAAUCAUAUGUCAAUGCGUUCAGCUUUGACUUUAUAUAAACUAUUGAUCCUCCUGCUAAUAAUAAAUUGAGCAAUAAAUAAUAUAUAUUUUGGCUGGCCGA